AGUCUAGGCCAUACACCCGAACGCGCGCCGGAUCUCGUCUGAUCUCGGAAAGCUAAGCAGGGUCGGGCCUGGGUUAGUAACUUGGAUGGGAGAGUUAUAAAAAGACACCAACACUU
rnacentral:rRNA from 1 species